UACGUAGGGGGCUAGCGUUGUCCGGAAUCACUGGGCGUAAAGCGCACGUAGGCGGCUUUUUAAGUCAGGGGUGAAAUCCUGGAGCUCAACUCCAGAACUGCCUUUGAUACUGGGGAUCUCGAGUCCGAAAGAGGUGAGUGGAACUCCGAGUGUAGAGGUGAAAUUCGUAGAUAUUCGGAGGAACACCAGUGGCGAAGGCGGCUCACUGGCUCGACACUGACGCUGAGGUGCGAAAGCGUGGGGAGCAAACAGG
rnacentral:rRNA from 1 species